ensembl:lncRNA
GGCGCCUCCUCCCCCAUGCUGUCGGCUCCGACACUGAGCAGGCCUGCAGAGCAGCCAGCUGCGGUCUCUCGGCCAUGCUGACAGGCUCCCCAGAGCUUCCCGACAGAAGACACAGGCUGCCCCCCGGGGCCAAGCGACAUUUCCUGAAGACAGUGGGGAACAGGGAAGAAAAAACAGUCCGUCCUCCGGGAGUAGGAGGAUGUGGACAGCCAGCACCAGGGUGGACUCCCUGCCUUCGGCCCCUGGUGCAGAGUGGUAUGGCGUCCUGUCUCCCAGCCUGAGGUGCAGUGCUGCAUCUCUGGUCAGUUGGGAGUCUGAGAUGAAGCACUGUAGCUCGGGAAGGGAGAAGUUGUUCUGCAGCCGUCGCCAGAAGUGGCCAUGCUGCAGACAAUUUACAAAGUAUCAGAUUCCCGUUCCUCUCCUCCUCAGAGACUGGAGCUGGCCUGACCAUGAAGAAAUCUGAUUUGCUCCAAAUGAUAAUAAUAGCUUCCACUUACUGAGUAUUUGCAACUUACCAGGCACUGUGUUAAACACUUUCACAAGCGUUGUCCCAUUCAAUCUUCACACCAACUCAGUGAGAUAGGUUCUAUCACUUAUUCCACUUCACAGAUGAGGCAGCCAAGACACAGACGUUAAAAGACUUGUCUAACAUCACACAGCUGACAAGUUGUAAGACUGAGUCAAAUCAAGUCUGUGUUUAUACUUGUCACCUGCGCUUGCCCCCUCUCUCCCAUUUGGCCUGGUCUGGCUGGUAGAGCUGUCUCCUGUGGCUUCCCCUGGGG